ensembl:lncRNA
ACAGUUUUCAGGGAAAGUCACCUCUCUCCGAAAAGAUGCUAUGGUCAGCUACAAUGGUGACUCUGGAUGUGAGGACUUAACACUUAGCCCUGAAACCAGCUGGCCUAAUAGUCCUAUAUCUAGUGAGCCAAAGAUUUAUGCAGAGGCCUUGAUGGACUGAAGGUGGAAGCUGAGGACCCUUACUGUGGACACUACAAUGUGUUUCAGUUUACCUCUGCAGUGGGUGGACACAGACCCAAUCCAGAUGCCACAUCUCUUGCACUUGAGAUUAUGGGAGAUGAUGGACCCUAGGAACUUAGUCUAAUUUAGCUGUAAACACUGACCCAUCAAUCUGAAGAGGAGGAGUUGGUGAUGUCAAUAUCCACCUCCACUAUUUUGUCUGUGUUUAAUUCCAAGUUAUGUUGG